rnacentral:rRNA from 1 species
AGAGUUUGAUCCUGGCUCAGAACGAACGCUGGCGGCGUGCCUAACACAUGCAAGUCGAGCGCGAAAGUCCCUUCGGGGGCGAGUAGAGCGGCGGACGGGUGAGUAAUACAUAGGUAAUCUACCUUCGAGCUUGGGAUAACCCCGCGAAAGUGGGGCUAAUACCGGAUAAGACCACGUAACCAUGUUACGGGGUCAAAGGUGGCUUAUUUUUUAAAUGAGCUAUCACUUGAGGAUGAGCCUGUGGCCUAUCAGCUAGUUGGCGGGGUAAGAGCCCACCAAGGCUAUGACGGGUAGCUGGUCUGAGAGGACGACCAGCCACACUGGGACUGAGACACGGCCCAGACUCCUACGGGAGGCAGCAGUGGGGAAUAUUGGGCAAUGGGCGAAAGCCUGACCCAGCGACGCCGCGUGGGCGAUGAAGGCCUUCGGGUUGUAAAGCCCUGUCAUGCGGAAAGAACGACCCUGAGACGCAUACUCUCAGGGAGUGACGGUACCGCAGGAGGAAGCACCGGCUAACUCCGUGCCAGCAGCCGCGGUAAUACGGAGGGUGCAAGCGUUGUUCGGAAUUAUUGGGCGUAAAGGGCGCGUGGGCGGUAAUGCAAGUCAGAUGUGAAAUACUCCGGCUCAACUGGGGAACUGCAUCUGAAACUGCAUAACUAGAGUACAGAAGAGGGAAACGGAAUUCCCGGUGUAGAGGUGAAAUUCGUAGAUAUCGGGAGGAACACCAGUGGCGAAGGCGGUUUCCUGGUCUGAUACUGACGCUGAGGCGCGAAAGUGUGGGGAGCAAACAGGAUUAGAUACCCUGGUAGUCCACACUGUAAACGGUGAACACUAGGUGUGGGAGGUGUAAUACCUUCCGUGCCGUAGCUAACGCGUUAAGUGUUCCGCCUGGGAAGUACGGCCGCAAGGUUGAAACUCAAAGGAAUUGACGG